CAGCACCAGAGGGAGCCAACAAGCUUCAUGCCCAGGCAAACAGAGCGGAAAAGGGAGGAGAAGAAUGGGAGGAGAGGAAAGAAAAUGUUAACUGAAAAUGUUUUAUGCCAGAAAUGUACCAGCAUCUUUGUUAUUAAACACAGGCUUUGAUGAUGACACAUUUCCCAUGUUCAUAACUUGUGAUUGGUGAAGAAACAGCUGAGGCCUAGAUAAGUUAUGUGCCCAAUGCCACACAGCUAGAAAGCUACAAAGCUGAAGUUUGAACCCAACUCAUCUUGGUCCAGAGUCUGUGCACAGAAGUCCUCAUACAUCCAGCACUCAGCCUGCUCUUGAGCAAAAGGUACAUGUCCAACUUAAGAAAGCGUUUACUACUAGAGAUCGCUGAAAAAAUCAUAAGUCAUUUCAAUCAGGUUGAAUGCACUGCCCCAGAGAUGUUCAAGAAGAGGUUCAAGGACUUCUUAGGACGGAGUUUUAUGAGAGGCACCAACAUUGAAGACAUCAAAUCCAAUUGUAAAGUCCUUCCAAAUGGAAGAUUGUAAAAGCAUCUAAAGGUCUAUUCUGGAUGGGAAGAUAACAUGGGCAAAGGUAAUGACUAUCUGGGAGGAGCAGACCAGUAUGGCUGUAAUGAGAAAUUCAUGGAGAAGAGUGGUUUCCAGUAAUGCUGCAAAAAUCGGCUAGAAUCAGAUUGCGAGAGACCCUGAAUGUCAGCAAAAUCGGGUUUUGGUCUUAAUCCUCUUAAUCCUUUAACUGAUGGGAAGACUUAAAGAGUUCCUCCUCUGGAAAGUGAUAAAGUUUUGCCUUUUUUUUUUUUUUCUAGUUUGGAGUUUUUUGUUUUGUUUUGUUUUUGAUACAAAGGGUAUGAAGUAAAUUAAUCAGAUGACAUUCUUGAUCUACUGCGAAUGACUCAGUCAAGCCUCUUUUGCAUCUUCUCUUCCUCCCACUGUCCACAAGGUGGCACCAGAACUCAAAAUCAGAACUCCCUGGAAGGUUGUCUAACUGUUCCAAGCCUUUCCUGUAGGAUGACUCCUAUAAAGAUACUUUUGAGGAGUUAACAAUUUUCGUCUUAACUGACUGCAACGUUCUGAAGAACUUCUGGGGACUGUGCCAGUUUAGAGACUAUUGUAGACCAAAAUCAUAAACAACACAUCCUACAGAAAAUGCUAAUGAUCAACUGGACGUUGAUACAGUGGAAUUUGUU